ACUGAGGGAAGGACUCUCCAGUCUGCUUGCUGUAUAUGCUGGCUUCGUGGAGUCCCACAGCAGGAAGCACUCAAAGGUGGUUUUAUAUAAUUGACAAGUGAAUGCAAGCCAGUAAUUUCAAUUUUCUUUUCUACAAUUAAAAUACGAUAAAAUUUGUAUUCAAAUGAUAUGCAUGGAUGGCAAGCACAGAUCUCCAUCAGCUUCAGUAGCCUUGAAUUUGUUGGCAACAUUGCAAUAAGCAAUGUCACAUGGAGAACUCGGAGUGGAAAAAGGAAUUUCCAGCCUCCUCACUGCACACGCUGGCUUGAUCGAGUUUUGCAUUGGAGCU